rnacentral:lncRNA from 10 species
GUAGGCCCGGGGGUUCCCGGCCUGGCCGGGUAGCAGCGCGGGGGCGGCCCUGGGGCGGGGAGACAGGGGGCGGCUCCACUCCGGCGCUCUGCGGAGGACAGCAGCGAUCGCCAAGGCUCAGCUGGAGUGCAGUGGCAUGGUGGCAUGAUCUUGGCUCACUGCAACUGCUGCAUCCUGGGCUCAACUGAUUCUUCUGCCUCAGCCUCCUGAGUAGCUGGGACUACAGGCACACACUACCACGUCCA